UAUUCUAUCAUAUUCUAACCCUAAAUAAGACUAGAUAAGUCAUUUAGUGCUUCAACGCAAUGUUUCCGAGUUCUUAGCCUAUUUUGGACCCAAUUUCAACAAGUCUUUAUCCACACUUCUAAACACUCUUCAUGCAUCUCUAGCACUUGUAAUCAAUCAAAUUUAUUGUAUUCUACCAUAUUCUAACCCUAAAUAACACUAGAUAAGUCAUUUAGUUCUUCAAUGCAAUGUUUCCGAGUUCUUAGCCUAUUUUGGACCCAAUUUCAACAAGUCUUUCUCCACACUUCUAAACACUUUUCAUGCAUCUCUAGCACUUUUAAAUAAUCAUAUUUAUUGUAUUCUAACAUAUUCUAACUAACCCCAAACAAC
rnacentral:lncRNA from 1 species